AUCAGGAACAAGGGCAGGGACCAGUAACAGCUAGACGGCAGCAAGCACGUCAACGGAAUCAACUGGAUUUGGUGUGGAGGUCAUGGCUGAAGCAAGUGCU